rnacentral:rRNA from 1 species
GUGUCAGCCGCCGCGGUAAUACGUAGGGAGCAAGCGUUGUCCGGAUUUACUGGGUGUAAAGGGUGCGUAGGCGGCAAAGCAAGUCAGGUGUGAAAUGUAUGGGCUUAACCCAUGAACUGCACUUGAAACUGUUUAGCUUGAGUGAAGUAGAGGCAGGCGGAAUUCCCGGUGUAGCGGUGAAAUGCGUAGAGAUCGGGAGGAACACCAGUGGCGAAGGCGGCCUGCUGGGCUUUAACUGACGCUGAGGCACGAAAGCAUGGGUAGCAAACAGGAUUAGAUACCCUGGUAGUCCAUGCUGUAAACGAUGAUUACUAGGUGUGGGUGGACUGACCCCAUCCGUGCCGGAGUUAACACAAUAAGUAAUCCACCUGGGAAGUACGACCGCAAGGUUGAA